UACGGAGGGGGCUAGCGUUGUUCGGAAUUACUGGGCGUAAAGCGCGCGUAGGCGGCUUGAAAAGUUGGGUGUGAAAUCCCGGGGCUCAACCCCGGAACUGCACUCAAAACUUUCUGGCUAGAGACUUAGAGAGGUGGGCGGAAUUCCGAGUGUAGAGGUGAAAUUCGUAGAUAUUCGGAAGAACACCGGUUGCGAAGGCGGCUCACUGGCUAAGUUCUGACGCUGAGGUGCGAAAGCGUGGGGAGCAAACAGG
rnacentral:rRNA from 1 species